CACUGGAAGGGGCUCUGAUGUCUCCCUGGAGCCUUCUCUCCUCCAGGUGAACCCCCCCAGCUCUCCCAGGCUGGCUCCAGAGCAGAGGUGCUUGGAGCAUCUCCAUGGCCUCCUCUGGACUCAUUCCAACAAGUCCACACGUUUCCUGUGUCAGGUGCCCCAGUCCUGCACAGAUCCCUGGGCUUUGCAAGCCAGGGCUUCUUGGUAGUGACACAGCAAAAAGGAACUCCUCAGUAUGGGAAAGAGGUGGCUGCAGAAGUGAUGUGCUUUUGCAAGGACCCAGUGUGGAAAAACUUCAAGAGAAUUAAACCACUCUUGAAGGAUCCAUAAACUGGGCACUAGGAGAGAGAGCACAGGCCGUGGUGGGCUGUGGACAGACCUGGUCAUGGUGUCAGUGAUGGACAGUGGGGUUCUGUUGAGACAUGGGCACAAGCUUUGCUUUAGGCAGGAUGAGCCCCAGUUAAAAGUAGAUCUAAGUAAGAGCUGAUCCUACAGAAAGAGCUUUUGUUGUUAUUAUUUACUUUUUAGUUGGAAAGAAAGGGCAGGUCUGGAGUUGAGCAGUGAAACAGGAGACAUCCCUGCAGAGGUGGGCAGUGAGUUUGGGUAUGGAGGCGAGUUUGGGUUUUUGGUUUGUUUGGUGGGUGGUUUUCCCUUGGAAAGGGGAUGUAGGAAAAAAGAGACCAAGAGCUGUUCAAGGCUGCUGAAAACUGCUUAGCAAAUGUGCUGGGGGCUGGGGAUGAGGGGGGCUGAGUCCAGAGAACAAGGGCUCGAGAGGAGCGUGGUCAACUGUGCUAAAAGCAAAUGAAGAUAAAAGGAAGUGGCUGACUGGCAUCUUGGUAAGAAGAGAUGAGAGACCUCCACCAGAGAAGUUUCCGUAAGAUGUGAGGGGCAGAAACUUCCAGAGGAACACCAGGAUAUUACAAACAGCAGUGAGCUAUGGGAGGGACCAGAGUCUGGAAGGACAAGAGGGAAAUCAAGGACAUUUUGGUACAUCUUAAAGAAAGGAGACGCUAAAGGAUGUUGGUGAAGGGGAAAUUGCAGAAUUCAAGGCUAAAUGAGAAAGAGUUAAGGAUAAUUAGAAUUAAAAGGGAAGAAAGAAGGAUGAAAGACAGUGAAAUGUCAUGGAGAUGCCACUGGAAGGGAAAACAGACCAGUGCCCUACCGCAGAGGUGAGCAAAACCAGUCAGCUCAUGUUUCCUAGGAGGACAGGGGAGCCAGGAGAAGAGAGCCAGGAGUUGCAUCAGCCAGAGUUGCAGAUACACUUGUUCAGAUUCAGCUGGAUCUUACAGCUGCUUAGUUGGGAAGGUGAUGGUACAGAGGUAGAGAGAAUGAAUUGCUGCUGUGUUAACAGCUUCGGGGGGGAAAAGUGAAAUUCAGUCAGACUCUGGGAGAACAGUCUAGACUGGAACUGAAAUGAAGCCUGAAAGUAAAUGAGCAAUUUUCAAAUUGAGAAAAGGACAGGGAGGAGAGGUCUGCAAACAGAGGAGCAGGGGAAAACUAAUUGAAUUAUCUGGAUGAGCAGUGAGCAGAGGGGGGAUUUGCACAGCAGGGAGGUGAGGAAGAGCAGUGGUUGGUGGAGAAUAUUGCAGAUUAACCAUUUGAGAGUGACUGAGAGAGUCAAACGAGCUGUGGAUGAAGUGAAGGAGCAAGGAUAUGGAGAUGCCAACGUGAGAGACUGGUUGGGUUGUCACACCAGAACCUGACACCACCAACAGUGGGUGGGGGAAUCUGGGAGGAGAAGAAAGAGCUUUGGGUGAAUCCUGGAGGAGGAUGAGGAGAGAUUGGGCAAGAGAAAGGGCUUGAAAGCAGCAGGAACAGGAGGGAUCCCGAAUCAUUUGCACCAUGUCUGCUCCUGAUCCAGAAAGCUCAGAGAAAGGAAGAGGCUUGGAAGAGGAAGAGAGCACAGGUGAGUUCCUGGGAGCUGGAGGAGCUGUGGGUGCCUGGGGUGAGCACACAGAGUCUAGGAGGGGAAAGAAAUGGAGUGGUGGCACUGAAAAGCAGGUGGAGUGAGGGGUUGGUGGAGCUGGGCAGGGAGGGUGGUACACUGGGAGGACAGGGAUCUGAUCCAGAGUUGUCAGAGGAAGGGAUGAGGAGCAUGGUGGGAAGAGGAUAGGCUUGGCAUGGAAAAUGGGAGGGCAGAAGGAAGAUAAGAGGGCCAGAUGCUGUGAUGAACAAAGGGUGAGGUCAGACAGUGGCAGACGGGCGCGUGUACAAAACCAGAAAACAAGAGGCAGCUCCUGCCUGUGGUUUCGGGGCACAGCCUGGGGCUGCCUGUGAUCAGGAGUGAUUGAUUACAGAAUUAGGCUUGUGCUAUUUUGGCCCUGUGACUUCAGAUGCUGUAAUCUAAGCCCACUGUGUGCUUAUCCUUGCAGCAAGGAUAACUCUUCAGGCACAGGGAUGCUUUUGGGGGAGACACGUCAGGAAGCUUUUCCCCAAACUGCCUUUGUAAUCCUGCCACUCCUCUCAUCCAUCACCAGGCCAAUAUAAAACUGGCCCUGUGCUUCCUGUUGGAGUGUUGUGAAUUUUCAAAGGCAAAGUGCACUAUUGUUUAAUAGCCAAUUAUUCACUGGCAUUGAUAAACAGGCUCUGCCUGCGAUUACUGCAGCAAUUACUCACCCUCCUAAUUUAGACAUGAGGAAAAAUUAAUUCAAGCUUCCAGUUGAUCAUUUAUAUCUUUGGCUUUUGUAAUACACAUCACAGCACGCUGAAAACAACUCCACCACAGGGAAAACUGAUCUGUUCACACUGAUAAGGUGUUUUACUCUUGUUCUGUUACUGGGGGAGGCAGGACCAAGUCCAAGCUGAAGGGCUGUGGCUGAAGGGGUUUUUUUAUGUUUUGGGGAUGUAAAAAUAUGAAAAUCACUUUGUUAAACCUUAAAUUAAAAACAGAGGGAAGGGAUGUUCCUGCAGUCAGAGGGGAUCUCUGUGUACAGCUAAGAAAGCAAAGAAAAUAGUGUUUAAGUAAUGUGACCUCACCUUGCCUCCAGACCACCCUUCAAGUGCUGAUGGACCUGUCUCCAAACAGGAGACAUCCAGGAUGUUCAGGAGAGGCUGGUGGGGAGAAAUUAGAGGAUGUUGGCAGCCUAGUUCAAAAUGAAGAGAAGGUGGCAGAGGCAAAUAAAGCUGUUAACAGGCUUAGUAAUGUUACUCCCCAGGUUGCAAAGGGCACAGGAGUUCUGUGGUGACUGCAAGCUCCAGCGAAGGAGCAGCGCCCGAGAAGCACCUUCUCCAGGUUCCUUCCCCACUCGGUGCUGUGGUUUCACUUUCCGUGGCUCUGUUUGCUGCUGGCAGAGGUUCAGCUGGAACGGGAGAGGAGCAGGAAGAGCCUUUCCUCGGCGUAGUCUGACAGCACCUCCCUCCCCAGCGCAGAUUCCGUGCAAGGCAGAGCCUCCUCCGUGCCUGGUGAGCCACGAGCAGGGGCAGGAAAAACGCUUGUCAUGGCUUAUCUGUCCAGCAAUGAACGUGUCUGGUGCUGGAAAAUUAACGUCUGUUACCUGUACUGCACCUACUGAUGGAACAGUUCCAGCCUGGAAUGGGCAAGAGGACCAUUUUUAAAACACUGCAGAAAAAAACAGUGCAUCAAGAAUGAACAAAGAUUUCAUUGCUUCUGGGUCUGCCUCAAAAUAAAGACAGAAAAGAAUAAAGAAAUGUGUUGGUUUGACAA